rnacentral:misc_RNA from 1 species
GUAGGUGAACCUGCGGAGGGAUCAUUAACGAGAUAGGGUGCGAAAGCGCCCGACCUCCCAACCCAUUGUAUGCGAAACCACGUUGCCUCGGGGGCUUGUCCCCCGACCGGCCACUCAAACACUGCUUCUAUGCGUCAGAGUAUAUUCUUUAAAUGAAUUAAAACUUUCAACAACGGAUCUCUUGGUUCUG